rnacentral:lncRNA from 1 species
AUACUUAAUCCAUAUUUAUUAAUGAAUGAUUGAAAGAAGAAGAUGGGUGCCUAGAUAUUUUCCCCCUCACCCACAAGCCCAAGGCAGAGAAUUAGAGACACAUGUUUGCACAAAGCCUGCACAAAGAUGUCCCCCCAUAACUAUACAGGAACACACUCGUUAAGGAGGACCUUGGUGCUAAAAUUAAUUAAUGAAUGGAUGAUUGAAAGAAGAAGAUGGGUGCCUAGAUAUUUUCCCCCUCACCCACAAGCCCAAGGCAGAGAAUUACAGACACAUGUUUGCACAAAGCCUGCACAAAGAUGUCCCCCCAUAAGUGUACAGGAACACACUCGUUAAGGAGGACCUUGGUGCUAAAAUUAAUGUAAGAUCCCUCUCCCUUUAGCAGAAGAACAGUGUGACUCAUUGGGCUGAAUCCAAGGGUGCAGUGCAGGGUGUGAGCUGGGGGAGACCUUGCCCUCAGCUUGUCAGGAAAGAAAGGAAUCAGGUUAUGGAGGCAGAGAAGAGGCAGGUCUUCUUUUUGCUGAUCUGCAUAUUUGAUCUCAUUUUUUGUAUGUAGGGGGCUUGGAGUCGGGUGGGAAUCCUGGAAAGUCACUUCUGACAUUCACAUUGACCUGAAAAACAGGCACCCACAAGACACAUCACUAAGGAUGAAAGGAGACAGGCA